rnacentral:lncRNA from 1 species
GAUCUCAGAAUGAGCUGAAGAUCAGUGUCCCAAGUGUGACAGGGUAAACUCCCAAGAACGUCCAUUGAGAGCCUCAAACUAUGUAUUUCCUGGGACGUGACCUGAGCAGAAGAGCCCAGAUAAAGGGAGGGAAGAGAAAUGCAGAAGCUCCUCACAGGACCACAUCAUAGGGGCUGAGCUUCCUCAGAGCCUUGCUGCUUCUAAGAUCCAAGGAAUAUCUUGCCUUCCAGCACAUGGAGGAAGGCCCAGCAAUGACAGAGCCCCCUGAGAAAAGAGUGCCAGUUGUUAAAAGGUCUUAAUGUGCUGGAAGUCUGCCAUCCUCACCCUGAGAUCAGGGGACCACCUGGACAGCAGCCUUUGCUGUGUGCAACCCCAGCCUAGCUCUCUGAGUUUCAUCUUCUGUUGCAGCCUCCAGAGAGAGAAGUAUUCAUUUGCUUCCAGCCUGCCUCCCCUCCCCCCCCCCCCGCCCGAGCAUCGACACAGCAUUGAACCACGAGGGAAACUCCACAGGCUGUCAUCUGCGUAGCCCCUGUGCUCACCCUGGCCUACACUUUCAUGACCUCCUCAAAAUGAGUUCUGUGUGUUUGCCCAGAGAAAGAUGACAGACCUGAGGGUGCAUCCAGGAACUGGCUGGCACAGAGCUCCUGAUGGUCCCAGGACUUCACUUAGUAUGGUUCCUGUUGCUAAGCAACAGAAGUGCUGGAACUGCCAUCCAUCACCUGUCAUCCAGCAGCCUAGGUUAUGUGU